rnacentral:pre_miRNA from 1 species
UGCAUAUUACCUCUGUCUCAAAUUACUUAUCUUAUAUUUGUUUAGAUACGGAUCUAUCUAACACUAAAAUGUGUCUAGAUACAUUCAUACUUAGACAAAUCUAAAACAAGUAAUUCGGAACGGAGGAAGUACUUU